rnacentral:lncRNA from 1 species
CACAAAGUUCUGUGACUAUCAUCAUAUUGUAGGCCCGUUAUAUCACUAUUACACAUUCAUAUCUUAAACACGAAUAUAAUUAUAAAUGCUCUUUAACUUAUAUUACAUCCGGUUGGCGAUUUGACUAUUUAGUACUCUUGCUACGAAUGUAGGAAUUCUAAGAGCUGUGUUUAAGGUACAAAUGUGUAACAAUAAAUACUCAUCACUGUAAAUUACAUUCGGUUGGCGAAUUGACUAUAAUAUGUACUCUUGCUACGAAUGUAGGGACUUUGAGAGCACGUGAUAAUAGUCACUAUUAGUAUUAUCAUUUAUAUUUGAUUAGAAAUUUGAAUAUUUCCAUUUAUAUCUUAUUAGUAAAGAGUGUAAGGUAUAGGAAAUUUUACAUAUUAUAUAAAUCAAGAUACAUAUAUUGUCAUCGUGAUAUCGACUGUCGAACACGACCCUGAAUCAAUAUAAACCACUAGCAAGAACUAGCUGCAACAAUCUACACACAAGGUAAGUGUUUGAAUAUUUAUACAAUAAGCGUAGAUAAUUCAAAUAUUAUUAGAAUAGGCAUAACACAGUAGUAGGACGAUCUCACGCGGAAACUCUCAAACAACAUAAUUUUACACGACUCCCAGACACACACAUACUUACCCACAAUCCCUCUUAUUAGUACAAAUAAACCUACUACAACAAAUAUUGUCGAGCACCGACGACGUAGCGGGGGCUAUUGAUCCAUAAUGUCUCUGAAGGACACAGGCAACCGGUCUCGGCAGCUGCGUCCCUUUGCCCGUUGAAAUAGGUCGUCAACCCCGUAUAUUCACCAUACAUUAUUACGUAUCGUCUUAUUAUACGUAAUUUUUGAUUCGAUACAAACUUAUCUCGCUAAUACUAUUACCAUCCCCUGCCGCGUAUUUUCUCCCUAUUACAUAGUUAUCUCGUGUUUUUAUUUAAAUCUAAAUAUUAUAUAUUACAAUAAUAUUAUUGCUCAAACAACCUUAUUUAACUGGCUAAUAAGUAAUAACAAAUAUUAGGAACAUGGAAACCUGCUUUAUUAUAAGUAAAUAUAUUAUAUUGAUUGUUCAAUAUACUAUAAGUAAAUAUAUUAUAUUGAUUGUUAAAUAUUAUAUUUCGCUCGUCACGUAUGGACGGAUUUAAAAGACAAUCGUGUAUCAUUACAGUAAGUACUAAAUUUCAUAGACGUUUUCGAGUGAAAAUAAUAAUAAUUAAUAACUAUUCUUAUGUAUUAUAGAUUGAAGAAGCUAGUAAUCAAUCUUGUAACAUUACAGUUGAAGAAGAUACCAUUGAAAAAUCAAUAAUUAUGUAUUCAAAAAUUAUAAAUGUGGUCUUAACUAUUAUAUGUGUCGGCCUAUUGGUAACAAUUAUAAUGUUAUUAAGCCCUGCGGUUAACUCCCAACGGAUUCUGGCAUUUUCCAAUGGAACAAAUAUUGAAUCCACCGAAGGAGGACUCAUGAAGACCCUAUGGAAGGCUAUAAAACCUAUUAUUUCGCCGGACACUGCAGCCCCAGAAAUCUCGGUAGCAAAUGCUACUGAAAUUAGGAUUAACCAUAACAAUAAUAAUCAUAACAACAUAACUAAUAUAACUAAUAUAGUUAAUAAUUAUUACAACUGUAAUCACAAACAAUAAAUCAUAUGCCGGUUUCGCUGUAGCUAUCACUGAACCAGUAUAUUAUAUAAAAAUUGGUGGACUGAAUUUAUGUGUCGUUUGUUUCAAUGUCUGUUGUG